rnacentral:misc_RNA from 1 species
GCGAAGGCCAGUGGUGUCCACGCAGCUGAAUUAAUGCCACAAGAAGCCUUCCAAUCUGCGAUUCAUUUUCAGUUUUCAGAGUGUGUGUAAUUACCUAAUUCCAACUUCAAUGGUUAUUAUGGCUUUGUGUUCUUCAACAGCUCUCUUGCCUUUCAAUCGGAUUUCAAUUGGUUCAAAGCGGCUGGGUAAGUUGUUUCCGGUUUCUCCUAGGUGGAGUACCUGUUCACCUUUGUUCCCAAACUCGCCAAGGAGUAGAGGAUUUCGAUUUGUUGCUUCGAGUGCAAUUGGGACGAAUGAAGGUGUUGCAGAGAUAUCUCAAGGAGAGACACGGCCGCGAAUUUAUAAAUGGCCUGAUAAUAGGGUUUGACCCCUUUAUUGACUGGUUUUUUUAAAAAAAGAUUUUUUUAAUCCAUUUUAGUAUUCCCUUUUGAAGCUGACUCUGUUUUUAUAUUAUUUUAUUUUUUGUUUGUCUUCCUGUUUUGGUUAAGUUGUAUCACUGUACAUUUGAUGUUGUAUCUAUAAUUGGUAAAGAUCUUUUUAAAUAUUAUAUUCUUUGCUGCAUAAAAUGUGAAAUCUUUCAAAGCAAUGCGGUAGUCAUAGAUGGGUAUCCCAGAUGUUUCCCAAAGCAACUAAUUUAUUAGGUGUGGUAUGUAUUUCUACUGAAAGUAGCUAUCACUUCCCACCUAACAUUAUACAUCAUUGCUUUCAUUCCUUAGAACCCAUAAGGAUUACUAGUUAUUACUAGAAGAAUGGCUUGCGCUGACAUUACCAAAAUGAGUCUAAAUCAAUAUUAUUGAAAGUUUUCAAUUCACUAUCAUCUUUUUCUCUUGCAUCAUCUUGUAAAAGACCAAUCAAUAAGCAUUAUAUAAAAGAUUGGUGGUCCAGUAAAUUUAAAGAAACACACGUACAUACAAGUACUUGUGUGCUUUCUAAGUUCACCAACCAUUGGAAUCACUUCCUCUUGGCGAAUAGGAUUAUGUAGUUCUUCUAAAUCAAGCUCUGGAAAUGGUUUUCUUCUACCUUCCUAAAAUUAUUCUCAUUUUACUCAUAAUUGAUACGUUCAUAAUUCUUCUUCUUGUAGUUAAUUCUAAAGGACAUGAACUGAAAUUAUACUUAAGAGGUGUAAUGAAUGAAUCAAUAGCUUGACAUGAAAAAGAUCUUACAUUUAAUAUGCCUUUUUGGCAUAUAAAGUUCUUUAAACAUAUUCAAAGAAUUUGUAAUGUAAUUCACAUAUAAUAUAAAAUGUAGGAAAGUACUACUACUAAGUGAAUGUUGAUAAUAUAAAAUGUAGGAAAGUACUACUACUAAGUGAAUGUUGAUAAUCAGAUACAGAUGUUUAUGAAGGGAGUGAUUCACAUGGACUACUGUGUCAUUGGUUUGAUAGCUUGCUUUAUAUGAAUUUCAAAUUCUUUUGUUGUCAGAAUAAUGUGCGAAUACAAUUUCAGGAUUUCUUAUGUAUUAUAUGUGUAAGUGAAUAGACCAUAAUGUUAGUAAGACCCAUCACCCAUAUCAUCUGUCUUAAAAGAAAACUCUGCUUCAAUUGGCCAUGAAAUUAUUUAAUAUGUGGUAGAAUAUUUCAUUUUUCAAUAUGUUUUGUUUUUUAUAUGUUUGUUUGUCAUUUAUAAUUGAUUUUGAAAUCUACCGUAUGCUACAAUUUGAUUCAAUUCUUGGUUCUUGUUUCACAAAAAUGAAAUUUAAUUCAUGAUUCAAAUCUUGAUUGGAUGACAAUGGCUUCAGUAAGAUCACAUCUUAACAUGAGCUCAGUAAAUUUGGCCAAGCAGUUCGAUGCACCAGAAGGCUAUAUUUAUAGUUGUACAAUUGAUCUACUAAUUACCUUUUACAAGAAGAUUGGAUGUAUUUCUCUCUUAAAAUGUAUUUCAUCAAUCAGACCAUGUAUUAUGCUAACAAAAAAAUGUCGUGUCUUGGUUACAGAAGCCAAGGGUGUGUAUCCUGGGUGGUGGAUUUGGAGGCUUAUAUACUGCAUUGAGACUAGAAUCACUGGUAUGGGCUGACGACAAGAAACCUCAGGUAAGGUUUCAUUGAAUACGAAAUUCGAUUAUGAACCUAAAGAAGUAUUUUCCUUGAUUCAUUAUGAGCCAAUCCUUGUGUAGGUUCUUCCAAGGGUGUUUUUAUGGAAGCCUUUUUAUCAUUAUCUUUAAUUUGGUGGCCCACCUUGCUGAUUUUUUUAGUUUCUCUGCUUCUUGCAACGUGAGGGUCUCAUGUGUUGUGGAUACCCUUUAUUUUAUCAUGAAAAUCUUGUGAGGGUAGAUCAAUGGUAACUUCCUUUACAUCCUGCUGGCCACUGAUAAUGAUAGUGCUGAUUUUUUGGUUUCUUUUGGUGUGAUUUUGUGUACUUCCCAUGCACCAGGCUGCCCAGUUUCGUUGGUGCUCUUUUUUGCUGUAAAUCCCAUAUUAAAAAAUCUAGUUAUUAUUUUUAUUUUUCUUUUAAAUUUUAAUUGAUUAGUUUCAUUUAAGUUAUUUCAUUGUGGGUGGCCUCCAUCAAAGGUUAUAAAUUGCUAUAUAUCAGAUAAGAUAAAUUAUAAUACUUAGAUUUGGUAUUAGAACACAAGAUUAUUGUACUCCGACUUUCAACUUGUUACCUACAUAACUGGCCUAUUCUAUUUGCACAGAUACUAUCAUCCAAUGGUUAAAAUCAAAUCACAAAGGCAUAGAAUAAAAACAUCCAAUGAUAUAAAUAAAACCAUCUAAUAAAGAGUAAUAUAGAAAAGGAAAAACUCUCAAGCCCCUAAGGUGGCCUAGGCAGUUAUAAUUGCGUUCCUGGGUGCACUAUUUGUGUUGGGGAUUGAGCCUCACUUGAGAACAACCAAGGUGCAUUACCUUGUGCAAGCUUGAGCCUAGGCAUUUCUCACUUUGACAACUAUGCUAUAUUUUUUUUGUACUAGCACCUCUUGGAUUCAUAAAAUCUGGGUAUUGGACCAGGUGCUUCUUGUUGAUCAGUCUGAGCAUUUUGUUUUCAAACCAAUGCUAUAUGAGCUUCUAUCCGGAGGUAUAUUGUUCUCUGAGAACUGGCAUUUCUAUUCUUAACAAUGAUAAUCUAACCUGAAUGCGUUCAUCAAACAAAUAAUUAAUUGAUUCUAGUACCAAAAUCUGAUGCAGAAGUCGAUGCAUGGGAAAUUGCUCCUCGAUUCUCAGAUUUGCUUGCAAACACUGGUGUUGUGUUUCUACAAGACAAAGUAAAACUGUUGUCUCCCUCUGAUCAUUUGGCCUCAAAUGGAUCAUCAGGAUCUAAUUGUGGGGGAACUGUGCUGCUUGCAAGUGGCCUUCUUAUUGAAUAUGACUGGUUGGUUCUUGCUUUGGGAGCUGAAACCAAACUUGAUGUUGUACCUGGUGCAGCAGAUUUUGCACUUCCAUUCUCCACCCUGGAGGAUGCACGUAAAGUUGACGAAAAAUUAAGGGCAUUAGAAAGGAGGAACUUUGGUAAGGAUUCUUUGAUCCGUGUGGCUGUUGUGGGUUGUGGUUACUCUGGCGUUGAGCUAGCUGCAACAAUAUCUGAGAGACUGAAGGAUGGAGGGGUAGUCCAAGCAAUUAACGUAGAAACCACAAUCUGCCCAACUGCCCCACCUGGCAAUAGGGAAGCUGCGCUUAAGGUUCUUACAUCCAGAAAAGUUCAACUUUUACUGGGUUAUUUUGUUCGCUGUAUUCGGAUAGCUAGUAACUCAGAAACUACAGAGAUUGGUGCAUCUGAGGACAUUGCAGUGCAACAUAGUUCUGACAAAUAUCAUUUGGAGCUACAACCUGCUGAAAAGGGAUUAGAAAGUCAAAUUCUUGAAGCAGAUAUAGUGUUAUGGACUGUUGGAUCUAAACCUCUGCUUUCUCAACUGGAAUCCUAUAACAGGCCCCGUGAGCUUCCCCUAAAUGCCCGAGGACAAGCAGAGACAGAUGAAACACUACGUGUUAAGGGCCAUCCUCGGAUUUUUGCACUUGGUGACUCUUCUGCUCUAAGGGAUUCUGGUGGAAAACUUCUUCCAGCAACUGCUCAGGUGGCCUUUCAGCAAGCAGACUUUACUGGUUGGAAUCUGUGGGCAGCAAUCAAUGACCGUCCUCUGUUGCCUUUUAGGUUGGAUAGACUGUUAAAUCAUUUUCUAUGUAUGAUUCGUAAGUUCUAUUGGUUAGAUCGACUGAAAAAAGACUUGUUAGCAUAUUGGAAUGCCAUGCACUAUAUUACCCUUUAUAGAAGUAAUGAAGCAUAGGUUACAUAAUUCUGCACGUUGAUUGCCAGGUUUCAGAAUCUAGGUGAAAUGAUGACUCUAGGAAGAAACGAUGCUGCUGUUUCUCCAAGCUUCAUUGAGGGACUAACCUUAGAGGGUCCUUUUGGUCAUGCUGGAAGGAAAAUAGCUUACUUGAUUAGAUUACCGACAGAUGAGCACCGGGUUAAAGUGGGGAUCAGCUGGCUGACAAAGUCUGUCAUAGAUUCGGUUGCAUCAGUACAGAGCACCCUAACUAAGGUUCUUUCUGGCUCGUAAGUGCCCUUUCAGUUUACGAAGAAAGGUUUUCAAGUGCUGGUUCUGCUCUGCAUGUUUGAUUCCCAUAAAACCUUACUCAACCAUUAUAAAUCACAUUACUUUUCCAAUUGCUAUUGUGGUUUUAAUGAAUUCCAUCUUGAGAGAAUGUAGGACAUCUUUUUUAAAUCGUCCAUCCAUUUGGGUAUUGGAUUGCCAGUUGUACAGACUUGUUAGGAUGGGGAGAAUUCAUGACCCAUCCUUUUUUAUGCAUGGAGCUGGGCCAGCAAAUGUUUAGAAGUAGUUGUUCGAACAUAUGUAACUUUAAUCUUGACAAGAAAUCGAAAAGUGCAAGAUCAAGCCGGCAACUGCUAUCUUCCUCUUCCCUGCUGGAAAACACUAGAUGACCGACCUAAAGUCUUGGAUCCACACUCUGAAUUACAAAAAAAAAAAAAGGUGGUCACCAAUGAAGAUGAGCCUAUUUAUAUAUCAUAGGCAACUUUCCUUGGAGAGGAGUGCAAUGUCCAAGGAACUUUCCUUUGUUCAUUGAAAUGUUGCCCCCCAAGAAUUAUCCUGUGAAUUGCCCAGGAUCACGUGGUAUUAGUAUGCUUAACAAGCAUAUUGAUCUUUCCAGCUCUGAUGACCCGAAUAGUUCUUUAACAAGCUUGGAAGAAGCCUUUGAGUUGGAAAGCCAUGGCAAGGAUUUAUGGCAAGUCCAUCCAUUUUUGUGAAAAAAUUGUCAAAAUGUCUAAUUUAGCCCUUUUACUUAUUAGAAAAAUUCAAUUUAGUUUAUUUUUAGCUUUUUAUUCAGUUUAG